rnacentral:lncRNA from 1 species
GACACUAGAGCGAGAGUGCAGAUGCUUGAUAGAGAUCAAAAAUACUGAGUGUGACCAAUAAAAAAAAUCACGAGGAUGGCUACCCACUAAUCGGUGACUUGCUCAAAAUUGUAGUGGUGUAGAUAGUUCUUUGACCUGCAGUACCUCGGCUAUUCACAGUAGAGUUACUGUAGUUUGACUACACCAACACUUGAUUAUCUAGUUAUUCAAAAUCUUGAGGUAUAUGUUGGCUACAGUAGAUCCAUUAUAGGAAUAGGAUGUGCACCAAGAUGAAAUUUGUCGACCUUGGUAGAUAGGGAGAGGUUCUAUACAGUUCAUGAAAUCGAGUCCGAAAAUUCAUAGUCAUGGUAGGUGAAUGAUGGAAAAGAAUUUUUAUAAAAUUUUAUAUAGACUCGAGUUGAUUGAAACUGACAAAUGACGGAUAAAAGGAUUUGAUGAGUUAUUCUUGACCUACAACUUAUCAGAACUUACAACAGA